rnacentral:rRNA from 1 species
GACCCAUAGGUUGAGGAGGCGGUGACCGUGGAGGAGGAGGAUGAGGUAGCCAACACUGUUUUUUUUAAUUAUAUUUAUCUUUUUUUUUUUUUUAUUGGGUUAGCCCCCAAAAUAUUGGCACAUAUAAAAAAAGACAACUCUGUUCCGCAGAGUAGCUGUUGACAUAAUAGUUGCGCAGGAACUUUGUUGACUCUAGAGAACCUCGGGCAAAUCGCACAUCCUCGUGGCAGCAACUUUGCAUGCGGAUAUCAUCCAUAUCAACUUUUCGAUGCCAGUUUCUACACCUACAAUGGUGACCAUGGGUAAUGGGGAAUCAUUCCAUACAGAGACCCUGAGAAACGGCUACCACAUGCAAGGAAGGCAGCAGGCGCGCAAAUGACCCACUCCCGACGCGGGAAGGUAGUGACGACAAAUAACAAUACAGGACUCUUUAGAGGCCCUGUAAUUGUAAUGAGUCCACUUGAAAUCCUUUAACUCUGAUCAAUUGGAGGGAAGUCUGGUGCAGAGCCACUGACCCGUGCGUGCUGCAGCUGAAACUCCACU